rnacentral:rRNA from 1 species
GAUGAACGCUGACAGAAUGCUUAACACAUGCAAGUCAACUUGAAUUUGGGUUUUUAACUUAGGUUUGGGUGGCGGACGGGUGAGUAACGCGUAAAGAACUUGCCUCACAGCUAGGGACAACAUUUGGAAACGAAUGCUAAUACCUAAUAUUAUGAUAAUAGGGCAUCCUAUAAUUAUGAAAGCUAUAAGCGCUGUGAGAGAGCUUUGCGUCCCAUUAGCUAGUUGGAGAGGUAACGGCUCACCAAGGCGAUGAUGGGUAGCCGGCCUGAGAGGGUGAUCGGCCACAAGGGGACUGAGACACGGCCCUUACUCCUACGGGAGGCAACAGUGGGGAAUAUUGGACAAUGGACCAAGAGUCUGAUCCAGCAAUUCUGUGUGCACGAUGAAGUUUUUCGGAAUGUAAAGUGCUUUCAGUUGGGAAGAAAGAAAUGACGGUACCAACAGAAGAAGUGACGGCUAAAUACGUG